GAUGAACGCUGGCGGCGUGCCUAAUACAUGCAAGUCGAGCGAACAGAUAAGGAGUUCGCUCCUUUGACGUUAGCGGCGGACGGGUGAGUAACACGUGGGUAACCUACCUAUAAGACUGGGAUAACUUCGGGAAACCGGAGCUAAUACCGGAUAACAUUGGGAACCGCAGGGUUCUAAAGUGAAAGAUGGUUUUGCUAUCACUAAUAGAUGGACCCGCGCCGUAUUAGCUAGUUGGUAAGGUAACGGCUUACCAAGGCGACGAUACGUAGCCGACCUGAGAGGAGGAUCAGCCACACUGGAACUGAGACACGGUCCAGACUCCUACGGGAGGCAGCAGUGGGGAAUAUUCCGCAAUGGGCGAAAGCCUGACGCAGCAACGCCGCGUGAGUGAUGAAGGGUUUCGGAUCGUAAAACUCUGUUAUUAGGGAGGAACAAAUGUGUGAGUAACUCUGGACGUCUUGACGGUACCUAAUCAAAAAGCCCCGGCUAACUUCGUG
rnacentral:rRNA from 1 species